rnacentral:lncRNA from 1 species
AAAAAGAGACUUCGGGCAAGAGGAGGAUCUAGGGGAGAAGAGGAAGAGAGGGAGAGGAAGAGAGAGACUGUGGAGAGCAAAAAACCAGAAUGAGAGAGAAACUAGAAAAAGGAAAACCCAGAAAAAGAGAGGAAGAGGGUUUUGGGAAAAGAGAGAAAAAAAGAAGAGAAAAGAAAAAGAGGAAAAGAAGAGAGGAAAGAAGAAUCUGGGGGAGAACAGAGGGCUUCGGACAAGAAAAAGAAAGGAAAAGGAGAGGGGAGAUCGAGUGAGAAGAAAAGAAAAAGUUGCAGCAGAAGUUUUUGUCACCAGGCUGACGAACUAGCCUGUUUUGGAGCCAAAUUUCUUCUUCGAUUGUAGAUUUUUGAUAGAUCUUUUGGCUUAUACGCUUUCUUGGGAGACAACAGAAGAAGCUUCAUUCACAAAUAUCUGGGGACAAACCGCUAUAAGUUGGUCAGAUCGAGGCUCAAAGUAGCGACUUCAUCAGCACUGAAACCUUCUGCAACAUAAGUUCUUGGGUUUCGUUUUCCAUAACAGCUCGGUUUCUUGAAGCAUCUCAAGUUCGUUUAGCGGUUCUAGUGCUCUCAGGUAAUCAUGGAUUAUUCUCAAUGUGGAUUUAAGACAAAUUUAAUAGAGAUUUGAGCCCCUUGUGCAUGAUUUUUUUUUCUUUUCUAAGUUUUGUCGUUGCCAAUGGUUGAUGACUGUGGUUAGACUUGGUGCCGUUGUUGUGCUGUUGAUGAGCUUGAUGCUGGUCCCUUUGUUCAUUUAACGUGUAUCUAAAACUAUGAAUGCAAUUUAGAAGCCAUGAACACCUCUUGUGUUUAGUAAUCCGUAUACGUAAUCAUCUCACCUCUUGUGUAUAUGUAAUCUGUAUAGUUAAUGAACUAAAGGUUGUACUUUUGGUCCAUGUUUAUGUGUGUAAUCUGCGUCUGAGAACUCUUAGGAAUGUAAAGUAUAGGAUUCGAGUUUGUGCAAUGUGUUGUCUUGGCUUGAAAGUUUGAUGCUUGCUUGGAUGUUGGUUUCCUCUGUUUGACAUGAAACCAGAAACUGGUGGAAAGUUUUUUGAAUAAACCUGGAAUUUGCAAGCUUUUCCUCAUUCUAGAUUUUCCUUUCUCUUGUAUGCAUAACAUGGUAUCUUGAUGAUGAGCUUAUGGAACUUAAUGAGAACUUGAGGGUUGGAUCCUUGUUGUUGUUAAAAUUUUUUUGCCGCUUAAGGUUGCUGAAGUUCCAAAGCAUCAGGAGUUGCAGCAACUCUUCUUCGAUACUUGCAUGGGAAAAUCAUAAAAUAUUGUGUUUUGACCCCCGGAUUGUUGCUUAAUUCUACUAUAGCCCAAAAAUAUGGAAAAUUAAUCAAUUUUACCUUUUUUGAAAUUCAAUCAUCUUCUCAUGAUUUAACCAUGUUUUAAGUAAGUUUAUUUUCUGGUUUUAGGAGAUAAUUAGUAGAACUCCAUUAAUUUUUAAAGCUUUAUUUUUGACUUCUAAUCUUAGCAAUAAUAAUAAUUUGAUGCUUAAAACUUUUAUAAUUAUUUCAAUUAGGUCCUUGCUUGUUUUAAUUUCUUAAAUAUAGGUUGUUUACUUUCAUUUAAAUGCUUUAAUUGUUCAAUUUCAUGAUCAUUUCCACUUCUUUACAUAUUAUUGCUCUUAUUUGUUAAUUAAAAUGGUACAUUGACUACUUUGUUGAUUUUUGGAGUUUUAAAUAGGAUAAAUCCAAACCCAAUUAGCUACUACUUCAAGAGAAGGUAUUUUCUUUUAUUGUUUAAAAAUCCUAUGUGCUCCUAUGUGAUUUUAUGUGUGUAAUUGCAUGUUUUUUGAAUUUUAUUUCAUUUAUUUAUUUAUUCACUUUAUUUGUUUUAAUUUUGUAUAUUUAUUUUAAUUUAAUUUUUUAUUAUUUGAGAGGCAAUUAAAUGCUAAAUUGUAAUAGUUAGAUUAUUAUUUUAUUUCAUUUCAUUCUUUACCCCUUUAGAUUGUAGUUAGGAUCCCCAAAUGUAAUAGUUAAGUCUCUAUUCGCUUUUAUUUUGUGUGCUUGCAUGCUUGUGUGUUUACAUGUUUACUCGUUUUCUUAGGGUCUUUGCAUCUAGAUACCAUGCUUAUGUGCUAUGUGCUCUAUGUGAUUUAUGUGUUUACUUGCUUUUAUUAUGUUUUAUAUGAUUUAUUUGAUUAUAAUGAAUGCAUGAUGUCACCACACUAGUCCAACGCUAGUUGUGGUCUAUUUUCUCGAUUUCUCGCUAGUCCAAUGCUAGUGAGAAUUGAUAGACAUGGGUUAGUCCAAUACUAGACCCUUAGGAACCGCCCACGCACUAAAUCAUGCUUGUGUGACAAAUCACUACAUUUUUUCUACUUUUUAGGAUCCUUAUCAUUUUUGCGUGAUAUUUUCUCUAUAUGUAUAUCCCCUAUCCCUAUGUGCGAAAUAUGACAUUUUAAACUUUCAUUCCAUUUAAGGAAAUUAAGAGUAGAUUAGUGCAUUUGCUUGAUUAAAUUAGGAAAAUACCCGUCGAAUAUGGAAUAUGGACGAGCAUGACUUUCUAGCCUUAGCACGCUCGUAUUCCCUCUAUAAAAGGAAAAAUUGAGUUACAAAUCUUAGUCCCCAUACCCAUUAUAUUACAUCCCUCUCUUUUAGCUCACAUAUAUUUGUAUAUUAUAAUUUUUCUAUUUUUUUAAAUCUCAUUGUUGCAUAUUCGUGACCUCUUCAAAGAAUCACUUUUGAGCAUCGCAGUUAAUGCGAUUUGCACCAAUUAAAAUUUGAAAAGACAUAUUGACCAUUUCGAUAGCCAUUAGAUCUAGGUUUGCAUUCAUAUAGUAACAUCCAAAUGUGAUAAGUUUUAUAGGCUAAACUUAGAAAAUUUUCCGACUAAAUCACACAACUAACUCUGGUUAAGUUGAAAGGAUGUUUUGGAUUUUAUCCUUACCUUCCCUUUCUUCAAACGUGACUCCCGAACACUUUUCUCUCAUUUUCGAAGACUUGGAGUUGUUUAAAAAGGGUUUUCUCUACUUUUUAUUUAAAAUUCAAUUUAGGUGACUUAGUAUACCUUAACUCGAUACUAAGUGGCGACUCCUAUUUUUUUUUAAAAACCCUUUUUAAACUAUUAUUUUGGGCCAAAAUUGUCGCACUUUUUGAGUCCCAUUUUAGGCCCUUAUUCUCUAACAAAUCAAAAGCUCAUUUUUCAAUCAAAAUUAAUCAAAUUCAUUUUAUAAACCCAUAAUUUUAUUUUCAAAAAAAUGGGACGCGACAAACACUACAGUCUGUUAUGAUUAGACUGGAAAGGACGACAAAAUUGGUCCACGAAAUGCCUUAUCUAGUUAUCUUUUUUUUUUUUGGGUCCAAAUUAACGUAAGAAAUGUCGCACAUUGUUUGGCUUGCUUAAGUAUGAGAUGCGACAAUAUCAAAUAGAUUUAUAUUGUUCAUGUUAAUAUAGCUGCCCAUUAUCAUAAAGUUUUGAAAGAAAUUCACACCCAGACUUUAGUUGCAGAAAAGAAACCUGGUGUAUGAACUGAAAGUCAAUUUUUCUGAAUUCUGUACAAUUGCCGUGGCCCAGAUCUCACAUGAUUUCAAGUUGCAAAUCUUAAAAACAGGCUGUCUUCUACACUAGUAGCAGAUAACAAAACAGUGCUGCGAAAUUGAUAAUUCACAAUAGUAGUGGUAGCAGUACUGCCUAAAUGAUUGGACUGCGGAGGGUUAUAUACCUUGUUCCAUGUAAAUAGAGUGCCCAACUAAACUAUUUUGAUGCCAUGGCUAUGGACACAUAUACAGCACUUCAUCUUCGUUCACCUUACUGAUGAUUGAUGAUGAAGACAACACUUUUUUUUUAAGCAUUAAAAUGUAAGUGAUUGUUCGAACCAUUGUACGUGCUGCCAUUUUAGCAGUAUCUCAAUAUCUUUUUGUUGUUAAGUCUUGGGAUGCUUAGCGUAACUGUUCUCAUAGAUCCGGUAGCAUUACUAUUGAGCUGUUUGCAUGUUGCGUGUUGCGUGGUGCCCAACGCUUAGUGUAUAACUUAAAAUUUUUGAUAAAUUUUUUGAGAUUAUUAUAGUUAAAAUUGUUAAAAAAAAAUUUAUAGCAGACUAACUUGAUCAAAAACUUAUUUGUCAAACAGGACCAAUAGACAAGGGAAGUGGAGCCUCAGCUGAAUUUCACAUGCUCACACCCCAACUUCACCGAGAAAUCAAAAUGCUCGAAGAUUAAUCUACUUCUGGAGAAGGCUUCUCUGGGUGGGGACCACGGGUCAUUUGGCUGCCAUAUAUAUAUAAUUAUAAUUUUAUAAUUUUAUAAUUUAAGAAAAUGUUUAAAUUUAAAAGAUAAAAUAAAUUUGAGCGCAUGAAUUCCCAUAUUACAUGUAGCUGUUCCUAAUUAGAAUGCCCUCACUCACUUCUCAGAGAAUUGUUAAAGAAUUUGCAAAGUAAAGCUUCCAUUUCGAGGGCAAUUCCUUAGAAUAUAGCCAUUUAUUAAAAAAAAAAUCCGUCAAGCAUUGAUGGUUGGAGUGAUUUGCUUAAUUUAUGUCCGUCCUGCCACGACGGGUCAAUGGAAUUUUUUUUUAAAAGCCCAAGGCGACGCCGUGCAGCCUCAGAGAGACGGCCCAAUUUUAAAAGCCCAAAGUACACCUGGCCAUCGGGAAGUCAAAAUAUUUGUAUGACCUAGUGUCUAACAUUAAUUGAUGGUAGCACAGACGUCCAAAAUGCUACUACAAUGUGGGCUGGGAAUAGUGGUUUUUGCUGGUUUCGUUGUAAUUUGAGUGUUGAUUUUGUCCUCAUUUGUCUUUUUAGGUGUGAUGGAACUCAUUGUGGGGUCAUCUCUAUUUCAUGUUUGUCGACCACAAGUUCUGAAUUUUGGUGGCCUUAUUCCAAUUUUACCCUUUUACGGGGGUUUCGCUA